GACGAACGCUGGCGGCGUGCCUAAUACAUGCAAGUUGAGCGCUGAAGGUUGGUACUUGUACCAACUGGAUGAGCAGCGAACGGGUGAGUAACGCGUGGGGAAUCUGCCUUUGAGCGGGGGACAACAUUUGGAAACGAAUGCUAAUACCGCAUAAAAACUUUAAACACAAGUUUUAAGUUUGAAAGAUGCAAUUGCAUCACUCAAAGAUGAUCCCGCGUUGUAUUAGCUAGUUGGUGAGGUAAAGGCUCACCAAGGCGAGGAUACAUAGCCGACCUGAGAGGGUGAUCUGCCACAUUGGGACUGAGACACGGCCCAAACUCCUACGGGAGGCAGCAGUAGGGAAUCUUCGGCAAUGGACGAAAGUCUGACCGAGCAACGCCGCGUGAGUGAAGAAGGUUUUCGGAUCGUAAAACUCUGUUGGUAGAGAAGAACGUUGGUGAGAGUGGAAAGCUCAUCAAGUGACGGUAACUACCCAGAAAGGGACGGCUAACUACGUG
rnacentral:rRNA from 1 species